GCCAGCAUGGCAUAGUGGUUGAGUGUUGGACUACAAAUCUGGAGACCAGGGUUCGAUUUCCUGCUCAGCCA